AGCUCCAAUAGCGUAUAUUAAAGUUGUUGCGGUUAAAAAGCUCGUAGUUGGAUUUCUGUCGAGGACGGUCGGUCCGCUCUAUGAGCGUGUAUCUGAUUCGGCUUUGGCAUCCUUGUGAGGUACGUAACUGUGCUUGAUUGCAUGGUGCGGAAUUCACGACUUUUACUUUGAGGAAAUUAGAGUGUUCACGGCAGGCAAGCGCCUUGAAUACAUUAGCAUGGAAUAAUAAUAUAGGACUUUGGUUCUAUUUUGUUGGUUUCUAGGACUGAAGUAAUGAUUAAUAGGGAUAAUUGGGGGCAUUUGUAUUAACGCGUCAGAGGUGGAAUUCUUGGAUUGCGUUACGACAAACUACUGCGAAAGCAUUUGCCAAGGAUGUUUUCA
rnacentral:rRNA from 1 species